rnacentral:rRNA from 1 species
CGCGUGAGCAACCUGGCCUUCAGAGGGGGAUAACGUCUGGAAACGGACGCUAAUACCGCAUGACAUGGCGGAGUCGCAUGGCUCUGUCAUCAAAGGAGUAAUCCGCUGAAGGAUGGGCUCGCGUCCGAUUAGGUAGUUGGUGAGGUAACGGCUCACCAAGCCCGCGAUCGGUAGCCGGACUGAGAGGUUGGCCGGCCACAUUGGGACUGAGACACGGCCCAGACUCCUACGGGAGGCAGCAGUGGGGGAUAUUGCACAAUGGAGGAAACUCUGAUGCAGCGACGCCGCGUGAGGGAAGAAGGUCUUCGGAUUGUAAACCUCUGUCUUCGGGGACGAACAAAUGACGGUACCCGAGGAGGAAGCCACGGCUAACUACGUGCCAGCAGCCGCGGUAAUACGUAGGUGGCAAGCGUUGUCCGGAAUUACUGGGUGUAAAGGGUGCGCAGGCGGGGCGGCAAGUUGGAUGUGAAAACUCCGGGCUCAACCCGGAGCCUGCAUUCAAAACUGUCGCUCUUGAGUGAAGUAGAGGCAGGCGGAAUUCCCGGUGUAGC